rnacentral:rRNA from 1 species
GUAGGGGACAAGCGUUGUCCGGAUUCAUUGGGCGUAAAGAGCUCGUAGGCGGUUCAGUAAGUUGGGUGUGAAAGCUCCGGGCUCAACCCGGAGAGGCCACUCAAUACUGCUGUGACUAGAGUCCAGUAGAGGAGCGUGGAACUCCUGGUGUAGCGGUGAAAUGCGCAGAUAUCAGGAAGAACACCGGCAGCGAAGGCGGCGCUCUGGGCUGGUACUGACGCUGAGGAGCGAAAGCAUGGGUAGCAAACAGGAUUAGAUACCCUGGUAGUCCCAUGCCCGUAAACGUUGGGCACUAGGUGGGGGAGGGAAUCAACCCUUUCCGCGCCGUAGCUAACGCAUUAAGUGCCCCCGCCUGGGAGUACGGCCGCAAGGCUA